UAAGUNUGAAGUUAAAGGCUGUGGCUCAACCAUAGUUCGCUUUGGAANCCGUCAAACUUGAGUGCAGAAGGGGAGAGUGGAAUUNCAUGUGUAGCGGUGAAAUGCGUAGAUAUAUGGAGGAACACCGGUGGCGAAAGCGGCUCUCUGGUCUGUAACUGACGCUGAGGCUCGAAAGCGUGGGGAGCGAACAGGAUUAGAUACCCUGGUAGUCCACGCCGUAAACGAUGAGUGCUAGGUGUUGGAUCCUUUCCGGGAUUCAGUGCCGCAGCUAACGCAUUAAGCACUCCGCCUGGGGAGUACGACCGCGAGGUUGAAACUCAAAGGAAUUGACGGGGGCCCGCACAAGCGGUGGAGCAUGUGGUUUAAUUCGAAGCAACGCGAAGAACCUUACCAGGUCUUGACAUCCCGAUGCUAUUUCUAGAGAUAGGAAGUUACUUCGGUACAUCGGAGACAGGUGGUGCAUGGUUGUCGUCAGCUCGUGUCGUGAGAUGUUGGGUUAAGUCCCGCAACGAGCGCAACCCUUAUUGUUAGUUGCCAUCAUUAAGUUGGGCACUCUAGCGAGACUGCCGGUAAUAAACCGGAGGAAGGUGGGGAUGACGUCAAAUCGUCAUGCCCCUUAUGACCUGGGCUACACACGUGCUACAAUGGUCGGUACAACGAGUUGCGAGCCAGUGACGGCAAGCUAAUCUCUGAAAGCCGAUCUCAGUUCGGAUUGGAGGCUGCAACUCGCCUCCAUGAAGUCGGAAUCGCUAGUAAUCGCGGAUCAGCACGCCGCGGUGAAUACGUUCCCGGGCCUUGUACACACCGCCCGUCACACCACGAGAGUUUGUAACACCCGAAGUCGGUGAGGUAACC
rnacentral:rRNA from 1 species